rnacentral:misc_RNA from 1 species
GAUGAAGAACGUAGCGAAAUGCGAUAAGUAAUGUGAAUUGCAGAAUUCCGUGAAUCAUCGAAUCUUUGAACGCACAUUGCGCCCCCUGGCAUUCCGGGGGGCAUGCCUGUCCGAGCGUCAUUUCUGCCCUCAAGCACGGCUUGUGUGUUGGGUGUGGUCCCCCCGGGGACCUGCCCGAAAGGCAGCGGCGACGUCCGUCUGGUCCUCUAGCGUAUGGGGCUCUGUCACUCGCUCGGGAAGGACCUGCGGGGGUUGGUCACCACUAUAUUUUACCACGGUUGACCUCGGAUCAGGUAGGAGUUACCCGCUGAACUUAAGCAUAUCAAUAAGCGGAGGA